GAUGAACGCUGGCGGCGUGCCUAAUACAUGCAAGUCGAGCGAACAGACGAGGAGCUUGCUCCUCUGACGUUAGCGGCGGACGGGUGAGUAACACGUGGAUAACCUACCUAUAAGACUGGGAUAACUUCGGGAAACCGGAGCUAAUACCGGAUAAUAUAUUGAACCGCAUGGUUCAAUAGUGAAAGACGGUUUUGCUGUCACUUAUAGAUGGAUCCGCGCCGCAUUAGCUAGUUGGUAAGGUAACGGCUUACCAAGGCGACGAUGCGUAGCCGACCUGAGAGGGUGAUCGGCCACAAUGGAGCUGACACACGAUCCAGACUAAUACGGGAGGCAGCAGUAGGGAAUCGUCCAAGAUGGGCGAAAGCCGGACGUAGCAACGCCGCGUGAGUAAUGAAGGUCUUCGGAUCGUAAAACGCUGUUAUUAGGGAAAAACAAAUGUGUAAGUAACUAUGCACGUCUUGACGGUACCUAAUCAGAAAGCCACGGCUAACGACG
rnacentral:rRNA from 1 species